rnacentral:rRNA from 1 species
UCCCAGACUCCUACGGGAGGCAGCAGUAGGGAAUUUUGCGCAAUGGGCGAAAGCCUGACGCAGCAACGCCGCGUGAUCGAGACGCCCUUCGGGGUGUAAAGAUCUGUCAGUGGGGACGAAACUUGACGGUACCCACAGAGGAAGCACCGGCUAACUCCGUGCCAGCAGCCGCGGUAAUACGGGGGGUGCAAGCGUUGUCCGGAAUCAUUGGGCGUAAAGAGUUCGUAGGCGGCACGUAAAGUCUGGUGUUAAAGGCAGAGGCUCAACGUCUGUACGGCACUGGAUACUUGCGAGCUAGAAUGCGGUAGAGGUAAAGGGAAUUCCUGGUGUAGCGGUGAAAUGCUUAGAUAUCACGAAGAACUCCGAUUGCGAAGGCAGCUCACUGGACUGCAACUGACACUGAGGCUCGAAAGUGUGGGUAUCAAACAGGAUUAGAUACCCUAGUAAU